GCAGUUUAGAAAGUGAAGAGGAAAAACGCCGGCGCACCCACACACGCACUCACACACACUCAAACUGCGUUCUCUCUUCUUUUCCUCUCUUUGGCGCCUCCUCCUAUCUGUAUCCUCUCCGGAGCCCAACCACGUUGGGCAUCGGUUGCUUUGGUAGGUGCUGGAGGCAACGUGGCUACAGUUCGUGACAAUUGGGAGAGACUGGUUCGAGCGACGUUGAAGAGGGAGCAGCUGAGAACCGCCGGCCAUGAUCAUGGGACCAAAACCCCAAAUCCUCAAUCAACUGUGUCGUGCAAAGGCCAGAAAGCGUUGAUCUGUUCCUACUAGUCAACUUCUCUCCCCUCUCAGUCACAGACAGAUCUCUCUCCCUCUACUUCUCCGGUGAUCUUAAACUCUUCAAAAAUGCCAGAGUACGCCACCGAGUUGAAGUCUCAGAAUGUGACAGUUUUGGCGAAGGUGGAUGCAACGGUGGAGAAUGAAUUGGCACAUGAGUGCUAUAUUCAGGGAUUCCCCAAAGCUUUAUACUGGUCAAAGAACCAUGUCAUAUGAUGCUUUGCAAGGAAGCCCUGUCACAGCUCAGUUGAUCCCAGCCCUUGGUGUCAUUACCAUCUUCAGAAGCUUACCAUCUGGGUCAUCUGGUUCCGUUCAUGUUUACAAAGUAUUUGCAAGAUGCCUUUAAGGUUCCUCUUAUUAUACAACUCACAGAUGAUGAGAAGUUCUUGUGAAAAAAUCUCAGCAAAGAGGAGAGCCAAAGAGUUGCACGAGAAAAUGCUAAGGAUAUUAUUGCUACAGUUUUGAUAUUGCAAGACUUUCAUUUCUUCUGAUUUUGAUUUUGUUGGCGGGUGAGUGAGACAGGAAUGUAGCUUUGGCCUGAUGAUAUAUUUUCAAGUAUGCUUUCACAAAUUUAAGAUGUUUUAUCCAAUUUAAUAUUACCUAUGGUUUUAGGAAUUUCAUUGGAUAUGAAUCUAUAUGAAUUAUGGAAUCUUGCUGCCAUUGAGUAACUGAUUUUGACCAAAAAAUUGACAAUGCUUAAAUGAUAUUGAAUCUUCUGGGAGCAUCUUGGAAAUUGAAAUGAAAACGAAGACUUUUGCACUUUUCUCAUCAUUUAUAGUUUUUGACAUCUCAAGUGCAAUUUUGCGGUCAGUUGAUCUUUAUAGAAUGUGUGAAGGUGAAAAUCAUUGGUGUAGGAAAUCCAUUUGCACUUUAUAGAUGUUCAAUGCUUACUCCCCUUCUUCCUGUGGUUGUCUUUUCAAGCCUCUGAAAGGUUUCGUUUAGCUGUAAUUAUCUUUGUGUUGCCUUUUGAUCUGGUUGUUGGUAUUCUUCAUUUCAAGUUGUCCACUUGCUAAUUUUGAUGUAAAAGUUUUUCCAUAUCAGCAGAAUUUCCACCACAAUCUGAUGUUUCUUGAUUUGUCUGGAACACUGAACUUAAUGUGUACUAGGGCGCGCGCGUGUGGAUGUCUUUGUUGAGGCAGAAAAUGUGGUCAAAAAGCAAUUUGCAUGUAACAUAUUUAUCCCUCAUGUUAAAAAAAUGGAAAAGUUGCUUUUCUAUAUUCCUUUUUGUUUGAUCCUGAUGGAAAUUUGGAAGUUUGUGCAUCAUACAUGGAAGUAUUAUGUAAGCUUCAUUUCUUCAUACAGGCUGUUCCGUCAUUUCCCAGUUCAAUUCCUCACCUUUUUUCUGGCAAAGAGAAUCUCCGUUGCUUGAUUCCUUGUGCAAUUGACCAGGUGUGGCAAUAUCGAUCUGGCAAAGUGGACGAACUGCAAUAUUUGCAAUACAAAUAAGCCAUGUCACAGUGUGAGGGUGUUGUAAGGUAUUAUCUAUAAUUCUUUUGGUAUUUUCGUACUGCUAGCUGACAUCAGGAAACAGAAUCUGUGCUUGUGAGGUUAGUGAAGUUCUGAUUCGAUAUUCUCUUUGUACUGUAUAUUAUAUACUGUUUUCUAAUCAGUAAAAAUAAAUAUGGGCUUUGUUUA